CACGUAGGGUGCGAGCGUUGUCCGGAAUUAUUGGGCGUAAAGAGCUCGUAGGCGGUCCGUCACGUCGGAUGUGAAAUUCCAGGGCUCAACCCUGGACCUGCAUUCGAUACGGGCGGACUGGAGUUCGGUAGGGGAGACUGGAAUUCCUGGUGUAGCGGUGAAAUGCGCAGAUAUCAGGAGGAACACCGGUGGCGAAGGCGGGUCUCUGGGCCGAUACUGACGCUGAGGAGCGAAAGCGUGGGGAGCGAACAGG
rnacentral:rRNA from 1 species